GUUAAACCGCCAGCUGUGCUUGUCUGGCUGAGAUCACACGAGGACAGGGGAAGCCGGUCAAAAUCCGGCGCUGACCCGCAGCCGUAGGUGGGGUUCGCCCCACGAGUCGGAAUGCCUGACCCCGUGCGCUCCCCUGU
rnacentral:ncRNA from 2 species